rnacentral:lncRNA from 1 species
GUUUGAGGCUUUUAAGGGUUAAAUAACUUUAUAGAUUUUAACAUUUAACCCCUCUAUGUCUUUCGAUUUCAGUAGCAUCUGGUCAUUCUCAAGUGUAUGCCUGGCGAGUCUCAAUUUUUGAAACCGUAAGGUGAGUUGCCGGAGAAUACUAGGUCGAAUGAAGGUGCUUGAAUAGUCCAUCUCCAACUUUAUACGUCUUUCUUCACAUUAAAAGGUGGAUAA